rnacentral:rRNA from 1 species
UACGAAGGGGGCUAGCGUUGUUCGGAAUUACUGGGCGUAAAGCGCGCGUAGGCGGUGAUCUUUGUCAGAGGUGAAAUCCCGAGGCUCAACUUCGGAAUUGCCUUUGAAACGGGAUUGCUUGAGUCCGAGAGAGGAUGGCGGAAUUCCUAGUGUAGAGGUGAAAUUCGUAGAUAUUAGGAGGAACACCGGUGGCGAAGGCGGGUCUCUGGGCCGAUACUGACGCUGAGGAGCGAAAGCGUGGGGAGCGAACAGG